CCAGUUUAGCAAGCCCACAAAGCCCAGCAACAAAACAACUGCAAAACAAGCACCUUCCUCUCUUCCACUCAUGUAUGCACACAGUCCUUUAAACUCGGGAAAGACCACCUUAGGCUCCAGCCUCCAGUGGACUUGGAGGUUCAUAACAUUGUAAAUUACUUAUACAGUGCCCGUUACACCACUGGCAUGAGGGCAGCAAUGAAGGUCCUCCAUCUCUGUCCCUGGCCAUGUUUUCUAUUGUGCCCUGGUUGUGGCUGAGGGCCCUCAUUCCUGCCUCCGUACUGUGGUGCCAAGUUAUCUUUGGUCUCCUGCGUUUCCUCCGCCCUUCAGGAGUCCAGUGAAGUGCUGUCCUGAUGAUGAAGUCAGCCUCUCUCCUCAUCACAGCCCAAUUCAACCCCAGUGCUUCCUCGUGAUGAUUGUGGCCAUUUCCUCUUGAUGAUACUGAAGGAGCAGGGCAUGGAUGGAGCUCUUUCUUGGCCAGAGAAUACGGAGAGUCAUCUGGAAGCUCGUGGUGUUGACUGACGACAGCUCGGCAAGGUCGCUUUCUGUCAUGUGCCAGCAUUCUGACCUGUACAAGAGUGUGGACAGAACACAGCUCUGGUACUGCUUCACCUUGCUGUGGAUCCCCAUAUGUUACUCAUUGAUCUGUAGAUGUUUCCAGCCUUGCUGAGUCUGCGCUGGGUGUCGUCCUUGGUUCCACCAUCCUGUCGAAUGAUGCUGCCCAGGCCGAGUUGCUAGCUCGACGCUCAACCCAGCACGGAUGGAAAACAUGCAAGGGAGCCAGCUGGAUUUGAACUCGAGAGCCUUCGCUUCGAAGUCCGCCGCUGAUGCCACUACGCCACCAACCAGCGAUUGCUGAAGAAGAGUCUCAGCCCGAAACAUCGACUGUUUAUUCACUUCCAUUGAUGCCGCCUGACCUACUGUGUCCCUCCAGCAUUUUGUGUGUGUUGAUUUGGAUUUCCAACAUCUGAAGAAUUCCAUGUGUUUAAGCUAAACAAAGAAUAUUGGUUGGAAGUUUAAUUUCACUUUGGUCUUUAGAAGUGUCAGCUACUAGUGUUUAGAAAGCUGCGGUUGACAAUAAUGUAAAAGCCCCUGGAUAGUGAAUAUCCAUCACAAUAUUCAGUGACCGAACCAGUGAAGGCAAGCCUGCUGAAUGUCUUCUCUACUGCUCUAUCUACAUGUGUUGCCACUUUAAUGAGAUAUGGACGCACCACAAGAUCCAUCUGUACAGCGAUGCUCCUAAAGGUCUCGCCAUUUACUGUAUACUCUCCCCUUAUAUUUAGUCUCCCAAAGUGCAACACCUCAAAUUUGACUGGAUUAAACUCCACUUGUCAUUUCUCCACCCAUAUCUCGAAUUGAUCCAUAUCACGUAAGACCAUUAGACAUAGGAGCAGAAUUAUGCUAUCUAGCCCAUUGAGUCUGCUCCACUAUCCCAACAAGGCUGAUCCCAAAUCCCACUCAACCCCACACAUCCGGCCUACUGUAUUCUUUAACAACCUUCUUUGCUAUCACACAACUCCAACAAUUUUUUGUGCCAUCUGCAAACUUACAAAUAAUUCCAUCUAUAUUUUUGUCCAAACACACACAAUACUGUUCCCAGCCCUGCAGAACGCCACUAGUCUCAGACCUCCAGUCAGAAAAACACCCCUCCACCACUACCUUCUGUUUUCUAUAGCCAAGCCAAUUUUUCAAUCUAGUCUAUCAAGUCACUGCGGAUCCCAAGUGUCUCUGUCUUCUAAAUCAGCCUGUCAAGGCGGAUCGACCCGAUGCAGGAGCGCAGAUACCACAAACACAGUAAUACAAGCAAUAUUUUCUCAAACUUUACUCUUUAUUCAUAGCAUGCCAUGGGGGAAGUUACAGACUGAUCUCCCAAAGAGCCAGUCCGGACACUGCCCUCCCUCAAAUCACAAUUCUUCACAAUUUAUAAUGUUGAUCAUUACGUCCACAGGAACUCUUACAAUUAUGGGAGUUAAGACAGCUUUAGAAUAGUUUCGAUCACAUGUUAAUAUACUAUUAAUCACAUGAACCAUAAAACACAAUAUGUUAUAAAACGUAACUCUGCAUAAUUCUUG